CCUACGGGAGGCAGCAGUGGGGAAUAUUGGACAAUGGGGGGAACCCUUAUCCAGCCAUGCCGCGUGUGUGAAGAAGGCCCUCGGGUUGUAAAGCACUUUCAGUGAGGAAGAACGCCUGGUGGUUAAUACCCAUCAGGAAAGACAUCACUCACAGAAGAAGCACCGGCUAACUCCGUGCCAGCAGCCGCGGUAAUACGGAGGGUGCGAGCGUUAAUCGGAAUUACUGGGCGUAAAGCGCGCGUAGGUGGCUUGAUAAGCCGGUUGUGAAAGCCCCGGGCUCAACCUGGGAACGGCAUCCGGAACUGUCAAGCUAGAGUGCAGGAGAGGAAGGUAGAAUUCCCGGUGUAGCGGUGAAAUGCGUAGAGAUCGGGAGGAAUACCAGUGGCGAAGGCGGCCUUCUGGACUGACACUGACACUGAGGUGCGAAAGCGUGGGUAGCAAACAGGAUUAGAUACCCCAGUAGUC
rnacentral:rRNA from 1 species